AAAAGAAAAGCUACCUGAAACACAGUAGGCUCGGAAAUGGGCAGAUGGGGACCGGAUUUUAAGCUUAGAAGCUCGACUCGAGUGAUUAAUAUAGUGAGUGAAGUUUACUGGCAAGUGGUGAGCAGAAACAGGGUGACAUUUUACUUAAUAAAA